rnacentral:rRNA from 1 species
ACGAGUUUGAUCCUGGCUCAGAUUGAACGCUGGCGGAAUUGCUUUACACAUGCAAGUCGAACGGUAGAGGGGGCAACCCUUGAGAGUGGCGAACGGGUGAGUAAUAUAUCGGAACGUGCCCAGUCGUGGGGGAUAACGUAGCGAAAGUUACGCUAAUACCGCAUACGAUCUACGGAUGAAAGCGGGGGACUCGCAAGAGCCUCGCGCGAUUGGAGCGGCCGAUAUCAGAUUAGGUAGUUGGUGGGUAAAGGCUCACCAAGCCAACGAUCUGUAGCUGGUCUGAGAGGACGACCAGCCACACUGGAACUGAGACACGGUCCAGACUCCUACGGGAGGCAGCAGUGGGGAAUUUUUGGACAAUGGACGCAAGUCUGAUCCAGCCAUUCCGCGUGCAGGAUGAAGGCCCUCGGGUUGUAAACUGCUUUUGUACGGAACGAAAAGGUUUCUAUUAAUACUAGGAGCUCAUGACGGUACCGUAAGAAUAAGCACCGGCUAACUACGUG